rnacentral:lncRNA from 1 species
AGUGUCUUAACUUUGUACUAGCUCUAGUACAAAGUUGUACUAAGCUUGAGACAGUUAUUUUGGGACGGAGGGAGUAUGAUCUAAAGUAAACAAAUGAUUGGAAAAGAGCAUUUAUUGUCAAUCUAAUCCUGCCAUCCAAAUACUUCUUUGAUUAAAGUCAGUUUAGGAUUAAUUCAGGAUUAGAAUCUAACUCUAACCUACAUCCAAGAAGGGCCAUUAACACUGCGCCUAACCCAGGGCAUCUUAAAAUCCAUGAAACGAGUUGAGCAUCGAUUUGAUCUCCUCCACUCAUUGCUCCCACUCAUCGCCCUAGAGCGGAUAGGUUCUUCGCCGGCUGAAUGAUCAUGUACAGCACCGCCUGAUAGUUCAUCUCGACGUGGAUCUUCUGCAUGUUAACCUCGAGCACUGCAAGCUAGGGAUUAGGCCACCUCUGAUUCCUCGUCCCGGGCAAACCCCACAACAGCCGUUCGAUCUCGGAUCAAAGUUUUUGCAGCCUUGAACUCUAUCCUGGUCACCGUGCCCGGUAGUUAUUCCUGGUACGCUCGCGCGCCGGAGCAAGGUGGCAACGAAGAGGGGUAGCCUAGAUGCUGAUCUGUUGGUUCGUCAACUGAAUAUGAGCUUGAUAGCACGGAAUAAUGGUGGUUCUUUGGGAUGCUAGAUCUAGCGACCUUGAAAGACUGCUCAACACAAGGAUCGAGUCCUGCUGGUAACCAUGUUCCCCAUGCCUCUCACGCCUAAUAAUUCCUUGUAGCCACUAUGUAUCGACAACAUCGUGGUGUAAGGCUUAAAUCUCACUCUAGGCCCUCGAUCAAUCCCCCGUAUGAUCAGGUUGUGUAUCUUCACAUCUUUUCUUUUUAUAAGAGGACUAAAUGAGGAGCAGGUUAAGUUAAUUUGAUGCACG